rnacentral:tRNA from 1 species
GAGGGUAUAACUCAGUGGUAGAGUACAUGCUUAGCGUGCAUGAGGUCCUGGGUUCAAUCCCCAGUACUUCCU